rnacentral:rRNA from 1 species
GACGAACGCUGGCGGCGUGCUUAACACAUGCAAGUCGAACGGAAAGGCCCUGCUUUUGUGGGGUGCUCGAGUGGCGAACGGGUGAGUAACACGUGAGUAACCUGCCCUUGACUUUGGGAUAACUUCAGGAAACUGGGGCUAAUACCGGAUAGGAGCUCCUGCUGCAUGGUGGGGGUUGGAAAGUUUCGUCGGUUGGGGAUGGACUCGCGGCUUAUCAGCUUGUUGGUGGGGUAGUGGCUUACCAAGGCUUUGACGGGUAGCCGGCCUGAGAGGGUGACCGGCCACAUUGGGACUGAGAUACGGCCCAGACUCCGACGGGAGGCAGCAGUGGGGAAUAUUGCACAAUGGGCGGAAGCCUGAUGCAGCAACGCCGCGUGCGGGAUGACGGCCUUCGGGUUGUAAACCGCUUUCGCCUGUGACGAAGCGUGAGUGACGGUAAUGGGUAAAGAAGCACCGGCUAACUACGUG